UACAGAGGGGGCAAGCGUUGUUCGGAAUUACUGGGCGUAAAGGGCGCGUAGGCGGCCUGCUAAGUCGAACGUGAAAUCCCCGGCUCAACCCGGGAACUGCGUCCGAGACUGGCGGGCUUGAAUCCGGGAGAGGGAUGCGGAAUUCCAGGUGUAGCGGUGAAAUGCGUAGAUAUCAGGAAGAACACCCGUGGCUAAGGCGGCUCUCUAGUACGGUACUGACGCUGAGACGCGAAAGCGUGGGGAGCGAACAGG
rnacentral:rRNA from 1 species